UUCUUUCAGGCAGGUCCCCAAAGAGGCCCAAGUUGCUUUCCUGAAGUCCGGGGUUGUAAUCCUCCUGUUUGCCCUGCUCCCUCCUCUCCGGGUCCUGAACCCCACCAUCUCAUGGUCACUGCAGCCAAGGCCUACCCCAACCUUUACACCCCCAAGCAGCCCUGCCUUGUUUGUAAGCACAAGGUCUGGCACAGCAUCUCUUCUGGAGGGCUCCUCUAGCCCCUGUGUCUGGAAGCUGCCCUUGAUGCUCUCCAGGGACCUCCUGGUUUGCUUGUGCCCUGCUGUGUGGUCCCUGCAGCAGAUAUCAGGGUGCUUAAAGUCCCCCACGAGGAUCAGGGCCUGUGAACAUGAGGCUCCUACUAGCUUUGAUACUUUCCAAGUUGCCAUGGCAGUAUCCCUGGUGCUCGCAUGGAAGAGCAGCAGCGGGUAAUAGUCAGAGGGGCGGACAAGCUUUGGCAGCCUCUCCACAACCUUGUGGAGCCAAGCCCCCAGCAAGCAGCAAUCCCCUCUAGAUGACAGGUCAGGUCAGCAGACGGCUGCCUCUGCCACUUGCAGCAGGGACUAACCCACCACAAUCACUCACCACUUCCUCCACCAUCAGAACCACUGAACAUUCGUGUCGCAGAAAGCUACUAGCAGCCAUCUACUUCAGACAGCCUUUAUUCACACGCACUGGCAGCUACAGGGCAAGUGUGCCCGAUACACAGGCCAGGCAGAGGCUUGCCUGCUUAGGGUGGUAUAGUCACAAUCUGAUUGGCUAAAUGUGCCAUGAGGAGAUAAGACAAUGUUUUUUAUUUUGUUUUUGGUUUUUUUUUCUCCACUAGCAACCUGUACAACUUCUGAUUGGAGAAAAGCUCAGACAAGGACACCCAGAGAAGUGAUGGACUCCCUGUCCCCGGCAAUAUUCAAGGCUCGCCUUGACAGGUCUCUGGAUAAGCUAAUCGAAGGCCCUGCUUCCCAAGAGAAAGUCAGACCAGAUGAUCUCCAGAGGACCCUUCCAACCUGGACUUUUCUGGGAUCCAAUGUCCCAGAGCAGGGGAAUCCAAUAUCCCAAGCAAGACAGGCCUGUGGGUCAGGCUCUUGGAGGGUGACCGCAGGAGAGGCCGUCUGGGGCUGUCCUGACUGCCUGCCAGGCAUCAGAAGACGUCUUCCUACCUAUCACAAGAUGCCACAAUGCCAAGGAGAUACUUGGAGGAGUGGCUGAGCUUGAUUGCUAUAUAACCAGCCAUUGUGUUUUCAAUAAAGGAGCUUUUGCACUCCCC